AAUAGGAGGAUGACAAAUCAGAUUUUUCUUCCUGAUUUUUAGCAUUUUAGUUGAAUUUAAAUUUUUCAGGAGGAAAAAGCUGAAAAUCAAGAGAAAAAAUUCUGAUUUGUUAUUUUCUUAUU
rfam:Gossypium hirsutum cultivar TM-1 unplaced genomic scaffold scaffold586.1, whole genome shotgun sequence